AACUAACGCUGGCGGCGUGCCUAACACAUGCAAGUCGAACGAGAAAGUUGGCUUCGGCCGAUGAGUAAAGUGGCGCACGGGUGAGUAACGCGUGGAUAAUCUGCCCUUAAGUUCGGAAUAACGUACCGAAAGGUGCGCUAAUACCGGAUAAUACUGAGUGACUACUGUUGCUUAGUCAAAGAAGGCUUCUGUUUACAUGCUUUUGCUGAAGGAUGAGUCCGCGUACCAUUAGCUGGUUGGUGGGGUAAUGGCCUACCAAGGCUACGAUGGUUAGCUGGUCUGAGAGGAUGAUCAGUCACACUGGAACUGAGACACGGUCCAGACUCCUACGGGAGGCAGCAGUGAGGAAUCUUGCGCAAUGGGGGAAACCCUGACGCAGCAACGCCGCGUGAGUGAGGAAGGCCUUCGGUCGUAAGACUCUGUCGGGUGGAAGGAAACGACGAUGGUGGCUAAUACCAUCUAUGCUUGACGGUACCGACCGAAAGGAAGACGACCGGCCGUAACUACCG
rnacentral:rRNA from 1 species